AUGAACAUGAGGGCCACACAUCGAUCAGAGUAGCCUUAACUUAAAAAUUAAACAAAGACAAAAAACUCCAUUACUUACAACCUAAAACACAAGACCUCAAGGUAUAUAGAAAUAUAAAUACUUAUAACAAGGAAACUACAUAAAAGUUUUGUGCAAGAAAAUCUCAUAGCCCAACAAGUAGUCUUCGGUGCACACUCGUAAAGGAUGUGAAACAAAUCGAAUCCUUUGCAAUGAGUGGAAUGGAAAAUAUAUAGCUAUGGUUAAUUUUGUCGGUAUUUGGAUGUGUACGAGUAUAUCUUCUUCUGAAGUCGAGAGAACAAAUGGCAAAGAGCAAGAGCAGAUGUCUACUCACAUUUCAGAACCUUCUUGGGACUGCCUUUUUGGGGACUGCCCUUCUGGGGCGAUCCAUGCCUGGAGAGUGCCGUCUUUUUUGGGCUACCUCUCUGUGAUUCCGAUUCCCUCUUGGUUAUGGCUGGCAUCAGUUUCUCGCGGGUGGGCGAAGGCAGCAAGGCGCCCUCUUCCACGUCUAGAAAAGUGCCAAUAUUAGUGGUUUAAAUGGGGAAAAACUAGGGGGCUGGACCAACCCGGACCCGUGGUGCGUUCUAAAUGAUGGCGUAUAUUGCUAAAACGUGCUGGCAGUGCUGAAAUCUCAUCUUUAUUAUCAACCAAAUAGGCUUGACCAGGAACUCGGGGCUUAAGUGGUGUCUUCGGCAAUGGUGCUGAUUUCUUAUUAUUUUCCUGUUCCUUCUCCUCCUUUGU